GACAGAGGGUGCAAACGUUGCUCGGAAUCACUGGGCGUAAAGGGCGUGUAGGCGGGAAGGAAAGUCAGAUGUGAAAUCCCCAGGCUCAACCUGGGAACUGCAAUUUGAAACUCCCUUUCUUGAGUACCGGAGAGGAAAGUGGAAUUCCUGGUGUAGAGGUGAAAUUCGUAGAUAUCAGGAGGAACACCAGUGGCGAAGGCGGCUUUC
rnacentral:rRNA from 1 species